rnacentral:misc_RNA from 1 species
GAUGAAGGAACGUAGCGAAAUGCGAUAAGUAGUGUGAAUUGCAGAAUUCAGUGAAUCAUCGAAUCUUUGAACGCACAUUGCGCCCUUUGGUAUUCCAAAGGGCAUGCCUGUUCGAGCGUCAUUUGUACCCUCAAGCUUUGCUUGGUGUUGGGCGUCUUGUCUCUAGCUUUGCUGGAGACUCGCCUUAAAGUAAUUGGCAGCCGGCCUACUGGUUUCGGAGCGCAGCACAAGUCGCACUCUCUAUCAGCAAAGGUCUAGCAUCCAUUAAGCCUUUUUUUUCAACUUUUGACCUCGGAUCAGGUAGGGAUACCCGCUGAACUUAAGCAUAUCAAUAAGCGGAGGA